rnacentral:lncRNA from 1 species
GCCUGAUGUGGGGCUCGAUCCCAGGACUCCUGGAUCAUGCCCUGAGCCGAAGGCAGACGCUUAACAACUGAGCCAUCCAGGCGCCCCAGUAAAUGCUACUUUAUAAACAUAACCUACAAAGUGCCCCUUUGUUCCCUGCUGAAGCCAGCUCUCUUCCCUCUCAGGCAGAGGACCUGGCAUUCUCUCUGCUGUGCUCCUGCAGAGCCCCAACAGAAAAGCAGAACCCAAGGAAAGGCUGCCUUCAAAUGGGGACACCCGGGGAAGAUGGGGGAUGAGCACUGACAAGCAGCCUUGGACAGAGAGUCAUGAUUCAUCAGAAACAAGCCAGCAGGAGGGCAGGCAGAAGAACUUGGAGAAAGAGGAAGAGCACAUGUUUUCCUUAAUGCCUUCUCAAGGAAGUGGAGAAAUAUGCCACUCAAUGCAGAAGUCACUCUGGACAAAUUUCUUGAAACCAAGGCCUAAAGGAACACUCGUCUUAGCAACAAAGAGUGGCUAUAAUUACAGAUGA